rnacentral:tRNA from 1 species
UAGCUUAGGUGAGAGAGUGCUUGCCUGGUAUGCAUGAGGCCCUGGGUUUGAUUCCCAG